ensembl:lncRNA
ACCUGGGUCUUCACCUGGCUGAGGACUCUCUCUAAGUGUUUAAGGUCUCUCUCUCUCUCUCUCUCUCUAAGUGUUUAAGGUCUGACUCUCUUUCUCUCUCUAAGUGUUUAAGGUCUGACUCUCUCUCUCUCUCUCUCUCUAAGUGUUUAAGGUCUCUCUCUCUCUGUCUCUCUCUCUCUCUAAGUGUUUAAGGUCUCUCUCUCUCUCUAAGUGUUUAAGGUCUUUCUCUCUCUCUCUUUCUUUCUCUCUAAGUGUCUAAGGUCUCUCUCUCUCUCUCUAAGUGUUUAAGGUCUCUCUCUCUUUCUCUAAGUGUUUAAGGUGUGUCUCUCUCUCUCUCUCUAAGUGUUUAAGGUCUGAUUCUCUCUCUCUCUCUCAAUUCAAUUCAAUUCAAUUCAUAGAAGCUUUAUUAGCAUGAAUGUUUUCAACACUAUUGCCAAUGCUGAUUCAAUACAUACAUAUUACAUACAC